ACCGAACGUGACGGCGGGGUUCACAUGACCUCCUGAGAUGUUGGCUCCGACAGAGACUGCGACGAUGAGAGCGAAGGCGUGAGAGAGAGCUGCUGCUAUGAGACCGGAGGGCGUCGCUGGUCCAUCGCCGGUUUAUUCUGGUGCUCUUCUGCGGUAGUUAUAGUUGGUUAGUGUAAAGGUGAAAUAGCGGCUGCAGAACCGGAAAAAGGCUGGCCUGUUCAAGCUCGUCGUCUGGCCGACACGUAGAGUCGUUGAUUCGGCCGGAGGGUUGAUCGGCGACGCGGCGGGUCAGUCGGAGAGAGUUAAUUCUGGAUCUGUCCUCGGACACGAGAGACGCUCCGGGGCGUGCGGGUACAGUUUCAACUGUUUGGGCUUGAGCUAUUGGGCCCGGUCGAUCGCAAAUCUCGUGUCGUAGCACAGGCUUGUUCCGUUUCGACAGUAACUUCGACUAGCUUCAUUUCUGUUGUUCUAGGGUCUUUUUAACUUGAUAUUUUAAAUAGUUUUUUAAAUAUAUUUAGUUAAUGUCUUUUUGUUAAACAACAUCAAGACUGUUACUC